rnacentral:misc_RNA from 1 species
GAUGAAGAACGUAGUGAAAUGCGAUAAGAAAUGUGAAUUGCAGAAUUCAGUGAAUCAUCGAAUCUUUGAACGCACCUUGCGCUCUUUGGUAUUCCGAAGAGCAUGCCUGUUUGAGUGUCAUGAAAAUAUCAACCUUGACUUGGGUUUUGUGCUCUAGUCUCGGCUUGGAAUUGGGUGCUUGCCGCUUUUACGAGCGGCUCACCUUAAAUGUAUUAGCUGGAUCUGUCUUUGAGACUUGGUUUGACUUGGCGUAAUAAGUAUUUCGCUAAGGACAUUCUUCGGAGUGACCUCGUUUCUAGGACGCUUGUCCGCUUUCCAAUACAAGUUCCACCUCGUGGACAUGACUUUUUAUUAUCUGGCCUCAAAUCAGGUAGGACUACCCGCUGAACUUAAGCAUAUCAAUAAGCGGAGGA